AAGUCGUAACAAGGUCUCCGUUGGUGAACCAGCGGAGGGAUCAUUACAGAGUGUAACAACUCCCAAACCCAUUGUGAACAUACCCCGCGUUGCCUCGGCGGGCUACCCCGCGUCUCCGGACGCGGGGUCCGCCGGCGGCCCACGAAACUCUUGUCAUUAUUGGCAUCUCUGAACGCAAACUAAAUCAGUUAAAACUUUCAACAACGGAUCUCUUGGUUCUG
rnacentral:misc_RNA from 1 species